UCCAGUGUAAUUUAGUGGUUUGAGUGUUGGACUAGGAUUUUGGGGAUCAGGGUUCGAUUCCCGGCUCAGGAA